rnacentral:tRNA from 2 species
GUCAGGAUGGCCGAGCGGUCUAAGGCACUGCGUUCAGGUCGCAGUCUCCUCUGGAGGCGUGGGUUUGAAUCCCACUUCUGACA